GCCGGGGAAGAAGGAGCCCAGGCAGGCAGGCAGGCAGAGGGAGGGGACGCUCUCGGGCCCAGGCGCAGCGGAGGCGGCAGCAGCAGCAGCAGCAGCAGCCUCGCCUUGGCCUCGCCAGCCGGACCCUCCCUCCGUUCCUGCCCUGGGUGCCUUGGGAGUUCCCGCCCCGCUCUCCGCUACCUCACAAAUAUUAACAACAAUAGCAAGCAGGUAUGACAGGUUCGUCUAGACAGCCGUCCCUCUUAAAAUGCAAAUGAAGGAUACUUAUUGCAGGAGAGGCAGAUGGAUAUAAUUCACAGCCGCAAAGGAAGCUGCAGAACGGAACAGCAAUUUGGUCAGGCAGGAGAGUGAUCCUCAGAUGGAAGUACUAGCAACAAAGCAGACUAUCCGAAUGUAGUUUACCUAGAUGGAAGGUAGAGAGUUCUGCUUGGACUGCUUUGCCAGGAGCGGAAGGAAAGAACUUGUAGCUUCAGCAGACUUGCAGGACAGCCAGAUGUCACUGGAAUGGGACUCCAUGAAAACUAUUUAAAACUCAUUUUCCUUUCCCUCCCCCCAUUAGUUCUUUUUUGUUUCCUUGAGGUGUUUUUAUCAUACAGGCCUCUUGUCAAUCUGGGUUUUGCUAGAUUUGUUGUGUCUAAGCAGUGGGCAUACAGAAUGCCUUCUUGUCCAUUGUGUGUUCUUCCAGAUGAAGCUUUUAUGAUGUAAUCUCCUUGCUUCAUUCAUAGGAUCUUGUACAGGAUGGUUUCAAACAGUGAUGUGCCCCAUUUUUAGCCCUCUCGCAUUUUUGUGCCACUACUACUUUUUUUUUCUUACUAUAGAAAGCAUGUUCAGGAAAGAUGAGAAAGGCAUGCAAUGCCUUUUGACUGGUGGCACUAAAAGCCACUUGUCUGCAAACACCUUAGAUGAUUCAAGUCACAUUUCUUUAGCCUCUCUACUGGAUCUCUUUGGAACACCUGAUAUCUUGGUGUGUAGACUAUUCCAGCAUUCUUCAUGCUGGACUUGGGCUAGGGUGCCCAUUUUCUUUUUUUAAGAAAGAACGAAGGGCCGGAACAGAUGGCCCUUUAAAGCUGCUGUCCAGGUGGCUUGGGAGUGUGGCAUUUAUAUACUGCACUCUCCCAUGCUGCCCUGAAGCUGCCCAAAAGUCAGGUACCUGCCCAAAUGUGGAUGCCUUCAAGCCGCUCCGGUGGCACGCCAUUUAUACGCCACAUGCCGCCAGAGCACCUUGAAGCCACAAUGGGGCUGCAGCAUGGCAGGAAAAGUCACCUUCUCCCCACCAAAAAAGGAUUGAAUCUUUGCCACUCCUUUUUUGGCUGGCUUCAUGGUGGAUUGGGGCUGUGGUGUGUGUUCGCUGUGGCCUCAGUCUGUCUGUUUCAAGCCACCCCUUCUGCCCAUCUGUUUCACCCCAUAGUGACUAAAUGAUUGUAAUAAAUAAUGUGUAUGUGAUGGAACAAGAAGACUACAGUACAGCAGAACAUUCAGCCCAGGCUUCCUAGAUGCCAGUGUUGUGCUUUCAAACAUAGAAUUGUCUAUCAUUUUUCAAUAGUUCUUCAAAGCGAGAAGAAGAACAUAUUGUAAGUGAAUGUGGAAACUUUAAAGCUGUGGCUUGGCACCUGAGACAUUUUAUCCUCUAUGACUCCUGGAACAAAGGAAGCAAUAUGGUAACCCUUUCUGAGCUCUCAGUGCCUUAUGGAUAUUAGCUCUUGCUUCAGCAUGUCAUUGCAGAAUUGUAAGCAGAGUCCAGGAAUCCCAAUUAAACUCUUUCCUGGCUUAUUUUACCUUGUGAAUAACAUCCCAUUGGUUCUACUCAAACUAAAAUAGCCCCUUUUGAAAAUUUUCUGUGCAACAGGGAUGGAGGAUGUUUAGUGAAGCAAAUGUUAGACUGCAGCUUCUUCAUCAUUCGUCACUGGCUGUGCUGGCUAGAGCAGAUAGGAGUUGCAAUCUAGUAAUAUCUGGAAGGCCACACAUUCCUCAUUCUUGAUGUAGAAGAGUAAUGGGCAAGGCAGAGAACAUGUUUACCACUUGCUGCUUUUAUCACUGUCUUAUAAGUUAUCAUUAUCUUAUUUAUAUAUUUUAAAAGUAUUAUUGAUUUUUUUAUUUGCAAAUAUAAAAAAAAUAAGUGGGAAGAGAAAAAGAAAGCAAAGGGAGGGAAAUACAUAGGAUUGUUAGGAUAUUGUCAAUGGAACAGCCAUAUAAGCACCUUCUUGAAGAUGGAAUCUAGAAAGAGCACAUUUGUGGAUAGAUAAAGCAGCAAGGUACUCUGAACAUUGAAUAAUGGAUUUUAUUUGUCUUUCCAUUCCUGAAAUAUGUUUUUGGUUGUGGUUUUUUGGUUGUUUGUUUGUUUGUUUGUUUGCUAUACCACGAGCACAAAAUAACCACAGGUUAAGUUCCAAAUUACAGGAAUAAAGUUUAAAAAUACAUAAACACAUACAAAUAUCAAAUAUUUUCCUAAUGCAAAAUUAAUAAGCCACAAUACAUCCAAUCAACCAGAGAGCAACCACCACUGGACAUGCCCACUUGAUAUGUCACGGGGGCUAGAGCCAUUUAUUACUGUGGUACUGAAGGACUCACAGUAUUUAGUAUUUGCUGUUUUAGUCAUCACUUUAUUUGAAAUCACAGUUGUGAAUGACAUCUGGGAAUUUAGAGAAGACAGACCAAUAUUAACAUGAGCCAAUAUUGUGGGCUCCCUGAACAUCAAGGACCUGAUUAAUAUUCCUUUUCUGCACUUCAAAACAGUAUAUUAUUGCCAUAGCAAGAGAAUUCAACUGUUUUUAAGGAAAUAAAUUGCAGAAAUUAA